CAACACAGACCUUCGUACCAAAGGAACAACAGACUUCGAAAAGGAUUUCUUUAAACUCAUGAACAACUCCGUAUUCGGAAAGACCAUGGAAAACGUAAGGAAUAGGGUCGACAUCAGAAUCGCCAACGACGAAAAGAAAUGGAACAAGUUGGCCAAGAAACACAACUACAAAUCGGCAACCAUCUUCUCCGAAAACCUAGUGGCAGUUCAUAUGAGGAGAACCUCCAUAAAGCUAAA